rnacentral:siRNA from 1 species
AGUAUACUGGUGUUCUCCCCUCUU